CACCGCGGUUAUACGAGAGGCCCAAAUUGACAAGCACCGGCGUAAAGGGUGGUUAGGGAAAUUAACCAAACUAAAGCUGAACACUUUCAAAGCUGUUAUACGCAUCCGAAAGUAUGAAACCCAAUCACGAAAGUAGCUUUAUUUAACCUGAACCCACGAAAGCUAAGGAACAAACUGGGAUUAGAUACCCCACUAUGCUUAGCCCUAAACAUUGAUUGUGAAAUACACCUAAAAUCCGCCAGGGAAUUACAAACGCUAGUUUAAAACCCAAAGGACUUGGCGGUGCUUAACAUCCACCUAGAGGAGCCUGUUCUAAAACCGAUAACCCCCGUUAAACCUCACCCUCUCUUGCCUUACCCGCCUAUAUACCACCGUCGUCAGCUUACCCUGUGAAGGAUUAACAGUAAGCAAAAUUGGCAGAACCCAAAACGUCAGGUCGAGGUGUAGUGAAUGAGAGGGGAAGAAAUGGGCUACAUUUACUAACAAUAGUAAAUACGAAUGAUACAUUGAAAUAUGUGACUGAAGGAGGAUUUAGUAGUAAGCAGGAAAUAGAGCGUCCCGCUGAAACCGGCCCUAAAGCGCGC
rnacentral:rRNA from 1 species